UGCGCUUUAAAAUUGGUUGUUGCACCAAACGUUUUUUUUUUUUUUUAAUGCACAAAACAAACACUGAUAAGAACCUAAUCGGAGCGUUCAUGGACCAAUAUCGCUGCCAAAUUUUUGACGAUAAACUCUCUUUUCUCGGUGGGAAUGGCGUGUUUCGCAACAGCAGUACACUUUUUUCAAAGCAAUGCAAACUGUUCUGAAUUUAAGCAAUUACCACAAUAUGAGAGCUCCUGCUGGUUUCGACCAAACUAUAAUCGCGUUGCUUGGAAAGAGCUGAAGGACGAAAAUAGAAACUUCUGUGCCAUAUGCCGAGCAUACAUAAAAUACAAAAACACACAAAAAAACUCUCGAAUGUCAACACUGGUUCCACGCAAAGUGUAUCAAUCAAUGGUUUGAAAUAAGAAAAAAUUGCCCAAUAUGUCGGUUGGCGGUUGUUUAAAUAAACUUUACCUUUAGAAAUAUUUUAUAA